rnacentral:ncRNA from 1 species
AGGUAGAGGUGCGCCUUUCAUCAGUAACCUUGCAUCAACGCUGAGGCAAAGCGCAAGGCGAAAGGGAACGGCGCCGAAGGACGGCCGAAGCCUCACCGGUCGAUCCUGGGGCGCAGCGAAACACGCUGCGCACUGUCGCACAACGCGGAGAGCUGCCA